rnacentral:rRNA from 1 species
AGAAUCAACGCUGGCGGCGUGCCUAACACAUGCAAGUCGAACGAGAAAGUGGAGCAAUCCAUGAGUAAAGUGGCGCACGGGUGAGUAACACGUGACUAACCUACCCUUGAGUGGGGGAUAACCUAGAGAAAUCUGGGCUAAUACCGCAUAAUACCUUCGGGUCAAAGGAGCAAUUCGCUUAAGGAGGGGGUCGCGGCCGAUUAGUUAGUUGGCGGGGUAAUGGCCCACCAAGACUAUGAUCGGUAUCC